AAAAAAGCCAACCUGUCUGGUGCGUCUGGUGAAAAUACAUAAAUAUAAACAUUGCGCAUGAAAAUUGAUUCUAACUUUCAAAUUGAGGUGGAAUCUAGUCGACCAACAGGUGGAGAAAUUUGCGGCUUCAAGUGGUCCACCGAUGAUAAACCUUUUCAGUGGAGACAUUGGAGAGCUGCAGAAGGCAAUGUUUUUCGGUGAAAGCACGCACAGUGGGCACUAAGUUGCCAGGAAGGAUAUGGAUAAUACGCUACUGUUCCCAUUUCCGAUGGACAGACACUCUGCUGACCGAAACCGAAAAUUAUAUCGAAAGAAGAAAACAGAGCCUUGGAGUAUCUGAUAUCAUCACAAAUAUGGAUAUGAAUAGAGAUGAAGCGACGAGCAUGAAACUUAAAGAGAUGAAACAUUAUGUAUUUACUCGUGCACAUAUUGGUAUGAGAAAUAAAUAUGAAAAACUCAACUGGAAA